UGUAUAUAUAUAUGAAAUAUUGCUUAGGGAGACCACGGAAGAUAUAUUAUCUGGCUUAGGGAGACCGCUGGAUUAAGGCGACCUUUUUUGGUCUCCCUAAUAUUUUGACCUCAUGAGUAUUGCAAAUGUCGUGUUUUUGGUAAAUAAACAGUCUUCCAUUAGAUAAAAGUGAUGUUUUUGUCUGCGAUUUAACAUUAAAAAGUUGUCAAAUUUCUAUCAUAUUACCUGAAAAAGAAAAGAAUGUAUUACCUGUGUAUAAUUUCAAAGGAUAUUUUUUCAGCAUUGUGGAGACCACGGAAAACGUGCAAUUUAACAAAAAAUCUUGCAUAUAUAAUUUUUUCCGCGUUAAAUUAUUUUAAAUGAGUGUUUCUUCGACUUAUUUUUCCAUUUUUUAUGUUAAAAAACUAAAGAGGAAAAAUAUUCUAAAUUUAUGCAUCAAGUUCUGAAUUCUUAGCAAGUGCUUUCCGUCAUUUGUUCCGAAUACCAUCGGAAUGCCUCUUCAGUUUUCAGAAAAUGACCUUUCAACACCAUAAUUGUUGAGAAAGAGUUGUAUUGCGUGACAGACUCAGAGAACCAGAAUAUUUCAGAGAAGAACGACGAGAUCAACGAGGAGGCUCAAAACAGUAUUGAGGGUCUGUGCUAGAAUUUGUUGGACCCCAGUGUAACACUUUUAUGGACAGAGAGGAAAUCUUAUCUCAAGGGUCAACAUGUCUUUAUUCCAAGAAAGGGGUGUAUGCCAGAAUCUUUUGAAGAACAGUCUGAAUCUAACAUGGAAUCAAAGUACUGAAAGUACUGCUACGAGUUGAUGGGGUGUAUGCCAGAAUCUUUUGAAGAACAGUCUGAAUAUAACAUGGAAAAAUGAGGAAGAACAGCCUUCCAGCUUACAAAUCUAUAUUUUGACAAAGGGUAAUUUUGUUUUUAAUUC